CUUCAGAUCAUCGUGCUAAAGAAGAAACAACUGCAUAAGUUAAAGCAUAAAAUGAAUUGGUCAAUCCAUUUAUCAAUAUUGUCUUUGAUUAUUCUCAUAACAUUGCACUGUGAGGUUCGUGGCAAAAGUUUAGGAGAUUCUGCAAUAGAAAACAAUAAACGACAAAAAGUGCCAGGUUGGUGGGGGCGAAGAGAUACAAUCGAAGGAGCCGGUCCUUAUUAUAAAAGUCACGACAGAAAUAAUUUGGGCAAUUGGUGGGGGCGAAGAAACUCACUGGAAGGAGCCGCUUUUUACUACAAAGACCAUGACAGGAAGAAACCAGGCGAUUGGUGGGGACGAAGAGAUGAAAUUGAUGAUGCAAAUUCCGCUAAUGAAGUAAUGGGAGAUGAAAGACGAUAUGAAAAGGAAUUUUAUGGCGAAUCUACCUGAAAACCUUUUGGUGACGAGUGGGAACGUUGAACUUCGAUAAAUUCUCUAAAAUACUUUAUUGAGCAUUAUAAAAUAUAUACCGUGUAAUAGCAAAAAACAUUUUGGCGAAAAAUACUUUUGCCGUAUCUUGCAUAAUAAAAUGCUGUGCAUGAGCAAGCAAAAAAAAAAUAAAUGUGAAUUGCCAAAA